AGUGAACGCUGGCGGUAGGCCUAACACAUGCAAGUCGAACGGCAGCACAGUAAGAGCUUGCUCUUACGGGUGGCGAGUGGCGGACGGGUGAGGAAUACAUCGGAAUCUACUUUUUCGUGGGGGAUAACGUAGGGAAACUUACGCUAAUACCGCAUACGACCUACGGGUGAAAGCAGGGGAUCUUCGGACCUUGCGCGAUUGAAUGAGCCGAUGUCGGAUUAGCUAGUUGGCGGGGUAAAGGCCCACCAAGGCGACGAUCCGUAGCUGGUCUGAGAGGAUGAUCAGCCACACUGGAACUGAGACACGGUCCAGACUCCUACGGGAGGCAGCAGUGGGGAAUAUUGGACAAUGGGCGCAAGCCUGAUCCAGCCAUACCGCGUGGGUGAAGAAGGCCUUCGGGUGGUAAAGCCCUUUUGUUGGGAAAGAAAAGCAGCAGGUUAAUACCCCGCUGUCCUGACGGUACCCAAAGAAUAAGCACCGGCUAACUUCGUG
rnacentral:rRNA from 1 species